UUUAGUUACCACUUAAGCGACUGUCCCAAUUCGAUCAUCGUAGCAAUCCGCCACCGCUACCACCAGAGCCGUUGUCAUCACGGUGGUGCGGCAUUACGUUGCAUUGGUGAAAAUGCAUCGUAUCGUGCAUCAGUUACUUGCUUUUCAGUAUUGACUUUCUUGGCAGUCAGUGUCUGUGGUUCUGGUGGAGUGCGGAUGAGUACGGUGGAGAAGUGGAACGCGGGCUUCAGCGAACAGGCAAAGAAGCAAGCAAACCAGCAACCAGAGUAUCAAAUUACCAAAUCAUUUUUGCUGUUGUUGCUGCCGUUGGUAGAUUUGUGUUAGGUGCCGCUUGCAGUGCCCCGGCUGAGUCAGUCAUAAAAAAUAAGAAGUGCUGAUAUGCUCGAGGUAGAUCUAGAUCGUGGUCUGUUAGCUGCUCAUAGAAAUGGAUAAUUGAUGUAAUUUCAGCAGAAUGAAACCUCCGCUAGUGGCAAAAUGUAUGCUGGUACUUGCUCAGUAGAAAGCUAAACCAAGAAAACAUGCAGUUUACAAAAAAAAAAGAUUACUAUCGAUGAUAUCAGGGAAGAGCUACAGGAAAAUAUUGGAUGAAAAAGGUGAAAUCUGGCUAUUGGUUGAACUCAUGGAAGAGAAAGGAGUCUAACAUAAAAUAAUUUUAAAUUGGAACUCCAAUGGACUUAAUGAAAUGAUAAAGAAGUUUCAUGUAAGGAAGGUCACGACAAGCAAGAAUUUCACGAACCUGGACAUUGGACAGUCUACCUUGGGAAUAAUUAAGUGCAUCCACCCACUCAGAUCAUCUUUAUCCCAAGAAUCGGUCUCUCAUAUAUUUCACCUUUGGCUAAAAUAUCGGCUCUUUCAUUGCAUGAAAUGGAGUAAUUAGCCGGAAGCCACUGGACAAGGAAGAGGAAGACUUGGACACCAUUUGAUUCCAACAAGACGGCGCUCCGUGCCACACAGCCAACGCUAUGAUCGAUCUUCUGCGCACAGUCUUCGAAAAUCGAAUUAUCAGUCUAAAUUCGGAUGUCGUUUGGCCGCCUCGGAGCUGUGA